rnacentral:rRNA from 1 species
AUACGGAGGGUGCAAGCGUUACUCGGAAUCACUGGGCGUAAAGCGCGCGCAGGCGGCUUGAUAAGUUGGAUGUGAAAGCCUACGGCUCAACCGUAGAACUGCAUCCAAAACUGUCAGGCUAGAGUGUGGGAGAGGAAGAUGGAAUUAGUUGUGUAGGGGUAAAAUCCGUAGAGAUAACUAGGAAUACCAAAAGCGAAGGCAAUCUUCUGGAACAUUACUGACGCUGAGGCGCGAAAGCGUGGGGAGCAAACAGGAUUAGAAACCCCGGUAGUCC